GAUGAACGCUGGCGGCGUGCCUAAUACAUGCAAGUCGAGCGAACAGACGAGGAGCUUGCUCCUCUGACGUUAGCGGCGGACGGGUGAGUAACACGUGGAUAACCUACCUAUAAGACUGGGAUAACUUCGGGAAACCGGAGCUAAUACCGGAUAAUAUAUUGAACCGCAUGGUUCAAUAGUGAAAGACGGUUUUGCUGUCACUUAUAGAUGGAUCCGCGCCGCAUUAGCUAGUUGGUAAGGUAACGGCUUACCAAGGCAACGAUGCGUAGCCGACCUGAGAGGGUGAUCGGCCACACUGGAACUGAGACACGGUCCAGACGCCUACGGGAGGCAGCAGUAGGGAAUCUGCCGCAAUGGGCGAAAGCCUGACGGAGCAACGCCGCGUGAGUGAUGAAGGUCUUCGGAUCGUAAAACUCUGUUAUUAGGGAAGAACAAAUGUGUAAGUAACUAUGCACGUCUUGACGGUACCUAAGCAGAAAGCCACGGCUAACUACGU
rnacentral:rRNA from 1 species